CUUCUUCACUCAUGCUUAAAAAAUGUUGGGGAGCUUUGGGGGCUCCAUGGGUUCUAUGGGAGUAGGGGGGCUGGAGCACCCCUAGCACCCCCCUGGCUCCGCCACUGUGUACAAGGGGAUGGUGGAGGUCCUCUCCAAUCCCGGCGGAUACGGUAAUGAUGAUAGCAUCUUUCUGCUUUCAGCUGUUCUCUUUAGCACUUUAUUUCAGUGAACAAUGGUCCAAUUGAUACUGAAUUGUUCGAGAUCUCUGAAUUGCAUACUCUGCAUCAUGCAUAUGGAACUAUUAGUUCAGACUUCAGAUGUUCCUACGAAACCACAAGGCAUAUGUUGAUGAGGAUACUUCAGAACAUCAACUUACUUGAAUUGGCACAGAACUAAUCAUGAUCUAUCAAUGUAACCAAGCACCCUGCACAAUGGUCGAAUGGAUCCUGAGUUUUUCCCGGUCACUGAAUUGCAUACUCUGCCUCAUGAUGACCAUGCACAAUUCUUGCUUAUGCUGUGUUCUACACAUCUGCUUUUAGAGUUCUUGUUCUACACAUCUAGCCUGCUCUGCAGAACAAUAGUCAGCUGCCAAGCAAGGUGUCUGAUCAUAACAUUUACAACACACUUAAGCAUACUGCAAUAAGCAUGUGCUGCAACUCCGUAAGCCACUAACUUUCCAAAUUUGGAAUACAUGAGUCUCGCCCUACCAACCAUUGUUAGCCACCUUAUUAACCUUACUUAGGAGUUAUUUCUUAUAUCCAACGCCUGAAAUGAAUUUCUCUUGAGACCAUUCCCAACUGAACUCCUACUAAUAGCUGGUGAAAAUAGUUUGAACCUGUAGAAGUAACAUUCCAUGAUGAUGGUUUUCUGGUGAAAGUGAGAGGUAUCUCUGACUGAUCCCCCUUUGACCUUUGUCCAAGUAUUGUGCUUCGAUAUAUGAUGGUGGCAGGUUAAGGUUUUUUCCCCCCAUUCUGAACUCUGAAUUUGUGCAAGAUUUACCUAAUGUUUAUUACAUGGUUGGAGAAUUAAAAACAGCUGGCUUGAUGGGUGCAUUUUAUCGACGUUGUUUUUUUCCCCAUUUAGACUUAAUUUGGAUGCCAAUUCUUCUGCAGUGGGCGAGCAACACGGCUCAGCUGGGUUAGAGGGCCGGCCUCUUCAUGUCUGUUUCCACGAAUUCAGAAUACAUUACGAGGGAACCAAGCACCUUGCUGUUGGCCAGUCCAUCCACUGAAACCCCUUCUCUGCUGGUGGCCAUACGUGGAGGAUAAGCUGCUUUUUUGCGUGGAAAUGCUCCCUCUAACAGGGGGAAAACCAUUCCGUCUAAGUAAUGACCAAAGGAACUGCUUAUCUUGAACAUCAGAUGCAUAGAGGCUGGCUGAUCAUGCCGGCAUUUUCCAAACUAUCAAAUGCUGCUACAAGACAUUGUCGACGCCACCGAAGCACCCUAGCUGUUUAGAUCAUCAGCCCUCUUGGACUCCAGCAGCUCCUCAGCUGAACCGAAUGGAGAUUUAAAUUGUAAUAUAAUCAGUAUUGCUCCUGGAUAAUUGCCAUCUAUAACCUCCUGAUCCCUUUACCAAAGAGCUAAUUACACUGCAGUGUUCCUUAUAA